ensembl:lncRNA
CUGACGGCUAUAACACACAAAGUUACUCAAUGUUAAAAGGGCAACACAGCAUCCACCCACUGGGCACUCAACAUGCAAUUAAAAAUCGUGUCUGCAGCUGCAGCUGUCUGCUCCGGCAUGGUACCCCGACAAGAUCAGCCUUCUACCUUGGCCAUGGAACCCCGUAAGUCUGAAUCUGGAUGCUUCUUUUGCCAGCCAUAGUCCAACCUCCGCCAUUGGCGGGAACCACAGCAGCCUUGUCAGCUGGCUGCCUCAUCCAUGGAGGGGGAGAGGCGGCUGUGACUCCUAAUUGCCUGGGGAAGAAGCACAACCGAAAUCAACAAAUAGCAGGAAAAAAUGCAAUCAUGCAUGACACAUUCUCAAUUUCGUUGCACACUUUUCCACAAUGCAUUGGAAGAGGUGGACUGCGAGUCUUCAACAACAAAACUAGGCUACUUCAUUGGGAAGAUGCCCAAAGAUUCUGCAGUGGUGUUCAAAUGUAGGCUAAGUAGUUUUUGUUCUUCUUAAAAUUAUCACGAGUAUUGCAUUGUAGGUUGCAUCUUUGAAAACAGAAGUAUUUUUUAUUUUAUUCUUACCCAAAGUGGAUUUUUGUUUCCUCUCUGAAAAGUGUUUCUUGUUCUCUUGGUCUUCGUCAGAGUUUUAAAAUUAUCUUUUGAUUUCUGAACGUGUCGACACCGGGGACUUGGGAUGUUGCUGUGGUAUUGAUGUCAUGUGAAUCAGGCCUUUUGUUUUAGUUUUGUAGGCUAGGCUACCUAUUGAAUGAUUUAAUUUAUGGAUCAGGCCUUAGCAGUCAUUCUGAUCUCGUUCCCAAUGAUCAGCGCGUUCGUUUAUUACGUUGCUGUCCAGCGGUUCCUAAUUCGCGAUGCACCGAAUGCUCAAGUUUUUCUGUCCAAUAGCCUUUUGAUUUAAACACUUUAAAAAACGUUGAACUAAUAAAAUAAUAAAUAUGUUGAAAUGGAACCAAAUGGUCUGUUUCUGUCUUCAGUCUGUUUUUAAAUAGGGUAGAUUGUCUAUAUGGUCUACUACUGUAUAGGUCUACUGUGGAGUAGGUAGUUUUAUUCAGAGUUUAGAGAAAUUAAUACAAUUAGAAAUGAG